rnacentral:rRNA from 1 species
UACAGAGGUCUCAAGCGUUGUUCGGCUUCAUUGGGCGUAAAGGGUGUGUAGGUGGCGCCGUAAGUCGGGUGUGAAAUCUCGGAGCUUAACUCCGAAACUGCAUUCGAUACUGCCGUGCUUGAGGACUGGAGAGGAGACUGGAAUUUACGGUGUAGCGGUGAAAUGCGUAGAUAUCGUGAGGAAGACCAGCGGCGAAGGCGGAUCUCUGGACAAAUCCUGACGCUGAGGCGCGAAGGCUAGGGGAGCAAACGGG